UCUAUCGUCUUUUCUUUAUUGUUUUUCUUGUUUUUUUCCUUUAUCGCCUUUUCUUUGCUGUUUUUAGAUACUUUAUUUAUUUUUAUUUCCUUUUAGUUGUUUAUUUUUCCUUUUAGUAUAAUGCAUGAGUCUGAAGAGUCACCAAAUAUAGUUGAUCUUUAGUACAGUCUAAUCUCCCCAUACCUUUAGCCCCACCGAAUUUUUUUUUUCAAAAGAAAAUAGUGUUAUUCCGAAAGUUUUCAGGUUUUAAAGACAUGUUUUGAGAAAGGAUGCGGUGACCUGGGAGAACUUUGUGAAACAUCAGUCUUAUUUUAGCACCAUAGACUUCGUAAAUAUAGGAACCACUCCCGAAACCCCAUAUACCAUGGCGUUAAUCAUCAUUUCCGUAUAAGUCCUCAGUAGUUUAUCUCAGCAGUCAGCUCCGGCCUACAUAUCCUCUACGUAGGGGACCGAUGCAAAUAAGUGAAUGAUCCAGCAAAC
rnacentral:lncRNA from 1 species